rnacentral:lncRNA from 1 species
GAGUAUUCUCCCUCAAACGGUUUGAAGGUUAGAGAUCCCUUGUUGCGUAUUCACUUGUCUCCAUGACUAAGUGGCUUAACCCCAAUGAUGCUGUGGACACCCCGAUGGGGUGACUUUGACAUAAUCAAAGAUCAAGAACUUAACCACAAGACAACUGUGAUGCCUCAGGUCAAAGGACUACUUUGCAUUAUCCCAACCAUGAGUUCUCAUGUGACAUGAAUAUGAGAACUCUUCGUUGAUCGUGUUCAGUGAACUCAUUCUCUAUUGAUCACCUACGUACUUGUCUUGAUGUCACACACACCAAUGACUCGAGACUAGUCACUCUCCCUGAGAGAAGACACAGCACGUACUGAUCUUAACGGACUGUCAAUGCCCAAUUGGCAAUCCUAUGAUCAGGAAUGUUUAGGAUGUGUCUACGAAAGAAUGGUCUCAUGAAUCUAACUUCUUUAGAUUGCAUUCUCCAAAUCACUUAUUCCUUGGACUUAUCAUUUAAGCAUAUAACAUUUAUAUGAGACGGCUCAAACAAUAAUAUUUACCCUUGAUAUUAAACUAGAUUAGUUUAACAUGUGAAAUGUCCGUAGAGUAUCAUCAUAUGAUUGGUUUUAGGGCACAUUUCCAACAAUCUCCCACUUGCACUAGAGCCA